UGACGACAGACAGACAGGUGAAAAACCAUAAGACCACCCAUAUGCCUCAAGACUCAUCUAAACUCUACGUAUUUAUACUUGAAACACACCCACUUCCCAAACUGAAAUCAAUUAACUAAUUAAGUGAAUUACUAACCAAAAGCUUAUUUAGAACAACAAAAUAAACAUUCUAAUUAUAAAUCAACUACAAAACAAAAAAAAUAAACUAAAUAAUCUACAUUCUAAACUUUAACUGAGAAUAAUGGAGAAAUAGCUCCUACACACUGUGUAAUAUAUUUA